rnacentral:lncRNA from 1 species
CUCUUAUAGUAGAAGAGCAUGUCUCUGUUAAUUAAUUGAUAGCAAAGGCAGAGAGAGCCAAAUGCAAGAUCGAACUGUAAUUAUUUUAAAGAGUGAAAGCUUGUGUUUAUCAAAGGGGGCAGAUCUAAAAUUUAAGAAGACCAGAGGGAGUGCUUUCAGGGAACAUUCGGUAUCUGGAGACAUGGUUGGUCAUCAUGAAUGGAAGAGGGCAAGUGCCGGUGCCUUCAGACGUCCUGCUUGAGGAUCCUCAUUCGGAAUAUGCGAGAGAUGAAGACCAUGAAAGAAUCCCAAGCAAGAUACUGAAUCAAUGCAUGUGCCACCUUGGAAACCAAAAA